rnacentral:tRNA from 1 species
GACUCUGUGGCGCAAUGGUAGCACGUCUGACUCCAGAUCAGGAAGUUGCGUGUUCGAAUCACGUCAGGAUCA